ACCGCGAUAGCUUAGCUGGUAGAGCACCUGCCCGGAAUGCAGAGGGUCGCUCGUUCGAUUCCACCUCGCGGCG
rnacentral:tRNA from 1 species